rnacentral:rRNA from 1 species
UGCAAGUCGAACGGAUGACAAGGGAGCUUGCUUCCUUGAAGUCAGUGGCGCACGAGUGAGUAACGCGUGGGAAACUGCCUUCACUGGGGAAUAACGUUUGGAAACGAACGCUAAUACCGCAUACGCCCGCAAGGGGAAAGAUUUAUCGGUGAUGGAUGUGCCCGCGUUGGAUUAGCUAGUUGGUGGGGUAAUGGCCUACCAAGGCGAUGAUCCAUAGCUGGUCUGAGAGGACGAUCAGCCACGCUGGAACUGAGACACGGUCCAGACUCCUACGGGAGGCAGCAGCUAAGAAUAUUGGGCAAUGGAGGAAACUCUGACCCAGCCAAUGCCGCGUGAAUGAAGAAGGCCUUCGGGUUGUAAAGUUCUUUUAGUCAUGAAGAUGAUGACAGUAGUGACAGAAAAAGCACCGGCUAACUUCGUGCCAGCAGCUGC